UGGUGUUUACCUUUUUGUGUAACAGUGACUUGGAACUGGAAUUGGAAUUGAGUGUGUAUAGAAGAUGAAUAAGACUGACUCUUUUUUGGUUCUUCUCUUUUCUAAUCUUCCUAGCGUUCCUAUUGCUUGAGAUAUUGUUGUAGAGAAAAUACCUGUAUCAACCGUUUAUUGUAGGAUUAACUGUGGAGAUUUGUGGAUAUCAAAGUAUAUUGUCGUUUGAAAGUUUAUUGCGUGUAUUAACUUUGCAGGAGAUCUGUGCUUGAGAUUUUAUUUGAGGAGCAAAUUUAGGAGAUUUACAGAUUAAAGCUGAAGUGAAGAUAUAAGAUCUAAAUGCAGCCGAGAGAGGUGUCUCAGUGAGGGAUUGUAUGUAUGAAUCGUUCCACUCACUACACACUUACGAGGACGGGAGUUACACAUA